GAUGAACGCUGGCGGCGUGCCUAAUACAUGCAAGUCGAGCGAACGGACGAGAAGCUUGCUUCUCUGAUGUUAGCGGCGGACGGGUGAGUAACACGUGGAUAACCUACCUAUAAGACUGGGAUAACUUCGGGAAACCGGAGCUAAUACCGGAUAAUAUUUUGAACCGCAUGGUUCAAAAGUGAAAGACGGUCUUGCUGUCACUUAUAGAUGGAUCCGCGCUGCAUUAGCUAGUUGGUAAGGUAACGGCUUACCAAGGCAACGAUGCAUAGCCGACCUGAGAGGGUGAUCGGCCACACUGGAACUGGGACACGGUCCAGACUCCUACGGGAGGCAGCAGUAGGGAAUCUUCCGCAAUGGGCGAAAGCCUGACGGAGCAACGCCGCGUGAGUGAUGAAGGUCUUCGGAUCGUAAAACUCUGUUAUUAGGGAAGAACAUAUGUGUAAGUAACUGUGCACAUCUUGACGGUACCUAAUCAGAAAGCCACGGCUAACUACGUGCCAGCAGCCGCGGUAAUACGUAGGUGGCAAGCGUUAUCCGGAAUUAUUGGGCGUAAAGCGCGCGUAGGCGGUUUUUUAAGUCUGAUGUGAAAGCCCACGGCUCAACCGUGGAGGGUCAUUGGAAACUGGAAAACUUGAGUGCAGAAGAGGAAAGUGGAAUUCCAUGUGUAGCGGUGAAAUGCGCAGAGAUAUGGAGGAACACCAGUGGCGAAGGCGACUUUCUGGUCUGUAACUGACGCUGAUGUGCGAAAGCGUGGGGAUCAAACAGGAUUAGAUACCCUGGUAGUCCACGCCGUAAACGAUGAGUGCUAAGUGUUAGGGGGUUUCCGCCCCUUAGUGCUGCAGCUAACGCAUUAAGCACUCCGCCUGGGGAGUACGACCGCAAGGUUGAAACUCAAAGGAAUUGACGGGGACCUGCACAAGCGGUGGAGCAUGUGGUUUAAUUCGAAGCAACGCGAAGAACCUUACCAAAUCUUGACAUCCUUUGACAACUCUAGAGAUAGAGCCUUCCCCUUCGGGGGGCAAAGUGACAGGUGGUGCAUGGUUGUCGUCAGCUCGUGUCGUGAGAUGUUGGGUUAAGUCCCGCAACGAGCGCAACCCUUAAGCUUAGUUGCCAUCAUUAAGUUGGGCACUCUAAGUUGACUGCCGGUGACAAACCGGAGGAAGGUGGGGAUGACGUCAAAUCAUCAUGCCCCUUAUGAUUUGGGCUACACACGUGCUACAAUGGACAAUACAAAGGGCAGCGAAACCGCGAGGUCAAGCAAAUCCCAUAAAGUUGUUCUCAGUUCGGAUUGUAGUCUGCUACUCGACUACAUGAAGCUGGAAUCGCUAGUAAUCGUAGAUCAGCAUGCUACGGUGAAUACGUUCCCGGGUCU
rnacentral:rRNA from 1 species